ensembl:lncRNA
CCCUGCUCAGAAACACGCGGCGCCUGUACAGCCGCCAGCGCUGCUCUCACAUCCUCCCGACGCGCGCACUCAGUCAAAAACGACGGCUGGCGGAGGGGGGGGGGGCGUAGAGCCAAAAUAGCGGCCGUCGUCCCUGGGUGGGCUCGAACCACCAACCUUUCGGUUAACAGCCGAACGCGCUAACCGAUUGCGCCACAGAGACUGCCCCUGCAUUCCGCCUUGGCGGCACGGCUGAUGCGGGCGCUGCCCAGCGCUGCAGCCGCGCCGCUCUCCUCCGCCCGGCUGAGCGAAACGAAACGAAACGCAACGCGGCUGCUCAGCGCUACGCCCCGUGCGGCCUUAAAAGAGGGCCGAGCCAACAGUGGCAACAGCGGGUUACCUUAACUUAGGCGAUCCGAAAUGCUGAUCCCUCAUAGCGGGCUUUAACUGGGUGGGCUUUAAGGUUCCUUCCAACCCAAGCCGUUCUCUGGUUCUAUGACAUACAUUGACAAACCGGUGUUACGACAGUCUCCUCGGGGCUGGUACUACUUCAGCCAUUACACGUGCAGGACAAACUCUUAUUCCUAAAUAUCACGGCAAAACCACCCUAUGAAUAUAUUCAAGGACAAUGAGAAGUGGCUGCAGGGAACUGUUAUUUCGGAAAGUAACCUUCCAGAAGCGCCUUCCUGUGCUCACAGAGCUCAGCUACAUUUACCCCCCUGGGUGACCAAACGUAGCAGAAGAAAAGCUGGCAUUCCCAUUCCUAUGUUAUCCACAUUUACUUCCCACCUUCCCGUAUAACAAAUCAGUGCCCGUGGCUUUGCCAAGUACAAAGCUCUCGCACUCAAACACGAGCAGAUGUUUUCCUCUUCUCUUUCACAGCCCUCCUGGAUCUCCAUGAAGCCCUACAACACCCCUUGCUUCGCACUCUCCCCCACCUCCGUGGAGCUCUGCCUGGCGGUUGCUGCCUGCAGAAAGCCCAGAGCCCAACAUCUGAAGGAUGUUUUAAAGCGUGGGGGGUUGCAUCAUGGCCAGAGCACGGCUAUUUGCAGCGUCACAAGAGCGGCUCCCAGGCUGCACCACGUCAGGUUUCUGCAUGCAGGAGGACAAACGCACAGCACUGUGAUGUACACCCGUCUGCCUUCCUGUACGAGCAAAUGGGUGCGCACACAGGGGUGGAAAUGGCAAGUACUACACUGAAGAAAGGCCUAUGCUUGGGCACAGAUUUGGGGCCCUGAAACAUUUUCCCAUCACCUGAAUGAACGCAAACUUGGACAGUGGCAAAAUCUGACUACAGGCCAGACCUAAAUAGGGCAUUUAGUUGUGCUGACCCUGAGCACAGCUCUAACUCUCACGUGCCUGAGAGGAACAUGGGAACUGCCAAUGGAUGUCCAAGGCUCAUCUGGCCCAUAGGGACCAGGUAGGUGCAGCAGGUCAGGCUGCAGUGUCACUGGCACCUCUUGUCAGCACCUCUUGUCCAUUGAGUCUUGGAGUUUUUCAUCUGAAGUUUUACAAAGGAUUUUUAUUUUUUAAGAAAACAAAAGGAACAUGUACAACAUCUCAUGUUAUCUCUGUUUGAAUCCCACGGGGCAGCAAAAGAUCUGGGCAUGGAUGACUUCCAGUGUCUUCUAAAGCACUACCCGGUGAGCCAGCAUAGCAGAGAGCAGCGUGGCUUACCUCUGUAAAUGGAGAAGUCUGAGUGUCUGCCCUCUGGAGAGGCCUUCUGACUACACCUCCAGGAUAGGAAGAUGCCAAGUACUGCUUAUGGUGUUCUACUUCAGCUACUGCUUGCCACCAAAAGAUCCUCUGCAGACAUCCAGCCACGAGAAGUAUUAUUUCUGAAGGAUUCAAGAUGUUGGAAGACACAGUUACAGGCAGCCUUCCUCCAGCAGCUUCAAAACUCUGUUCUAUUCGUUCUCCAAAUAAAAUAAAAUUAGAG